AUUCUUGAGAGUAUUCAGCUGAUUAUCAUUUCUGACAUAAAGAGCUUCUUUAUUCAGAAACUAUCAAAGAUAAAUUGAUACAAGAAUCGAUUACUAUCCCAAAUUACAUCUAUUUUAAUACAUUGAUAAAGUUGAUGAUUAAAAUCAAGAUAUCAAUUUUGAAGAAAAGGCUAACCAUAGAGGCUCCAAACAAGUCCAAAACAGGAGACAAACCAUUGUAAAGCGCCGCAACACGGUGUAUUUUUUGAUGUCUUAUUAUUGAUGUUAUUUAUAAAAUCAAGAAACAUACGCAUGGAGUGUAUUAAGAGACGGAAAUACAUGGGAAUAACAAAGGCCUAUAUGGAAACCAACAAUACUAUAGGAUAAAAUAACUCAACAAAACAAUAAAAUAAAAUCUGAGAAGUAAAAAAACAUUCCUUAAGCAACCUGUCAUACAGCAAGCUAUAAAGAUUAAAUCCAUAGUCCUGACUUUCAACACAUUCUGACAUCUAUUUGUUGGAAAUGAGCAAUACAGCAACAACUUUUUAAUGGAAUUCAUUAAGAAGAGAUUAUUUUAGAUUGAGAAGGAUUAAAUUCAUAUGGAAAAGUUAAUUUAUUUGGGCGUUCAUUCUUUAAACAAAAUCAUUUUUUAUUUUUUCAUUAUCAUGCAAUAAUAGAAUGAU